rnacentral:rRNA from 1 species
CAAACUCUGGGAUAACAGUCGGAAACGGCUGCUAAUACCGGAUAUGAACUUCCCCUGCAUGGGGGUUGUUGGAAAGCUCCGGCGGUUUGGGAUGGACUCGCGGCCUAUCGGCUUGAUGGUGAGGUAGUGGCUCACCAAGGCUUCGACGGGUAGCCGGCCUGAGAGGGCGACCGGCCACAUUGGGACUGAGAUACGGCCCAAACUCCUACGGGAGGCAGCAGUGGGGAAUAUUGCACAAUGGGCGAAAGCCUGAUGCAGCAACGCCGCGUGCGGGAUGACGGCCUUCGGGUUGUAAACCGCUUUCAGCGCAGACGAAGCGAAAGUGACGGUAUGCGCAGAAGAAGCACCGGCCAACUACGUGCCAGCAGCCGCGGUGAUACGUAGGGUGCGAGCGUUGUCCGGAAUUAUUGGGCGUAAAGAGCUUGUAGGCGGUUUGUUGCGUCAGAAGUGAAAACUCAGGGCUUAACCCUGAGCCUGCUUCUGAUACGGGCAGACUAGAGGAAGUUAGGGGAGAACGGAAUUCCUGGUGGAGCGGUGGAAUGCGCAGAUAUCAGGAGGAACACCGGUGGCGAAGGCGGUUCUCUGGGACUUUCCUGACGCUGAGAAGCGAAAGCGUGGGGAGCAAACAGGCUUAGAUACCCUGGUAGUCCACGCCGUAAACGGUGGGUACUAGGUGUGGGUCACAUUCCACGUGAUCCGUGCCGCAGCUAACGCAUUAAGUACCCCGCCUGGGGAGUACGGCCGCAAGGCUAAAACUCAAAGGAAUUGACGGGGCCCCGCACAAGCGGCGGAGCAUGCGGAUUAAUUCGAUGCAACGCGAAGAACCUUACCUGGGUUUGACAUGUACCGGAAACAUUCAGAGAUGGAUGCCCCUUUUUGGUCGGUACACAGGUGGUGCAUGGCUGUCGUCAGCUCGUGUCGUGAGAUGUUGGGUUAAGUCCCGCAACGAGCGCAACCCUCGUCCAAUGUUGCCAGCGGGUCAUGCCGGGGACUCAUUGGAG